GUCGAGUAUGGAGGCGGGGGAAGUUUUCGAGCAAUUUCUACAAAUUUUCCAGGAGGAAAUCCUGUUAUGAUACCCCGACCACUUUCAACAAUCUCACAUAUAACGAGAGAUCUCAAAUCACUACUUAUGCUCUUUCCCCUACUGUAAACACGACCAAGUUCGCUGAUGUUCAUUGUGCAUUUCGAGAGAAAGGAAUGCAGACAAUAUGACACCUCCAAGUGGGCGGAGUCACAGCGUCUCAUAGGCAAAUCCGCAGACGAAUUUUUUAAUGCGUGCCACACUUCAAUGAAAUCCGUAGUACGAUGCUUUGCUAAGCUUUGCUAAAUGUCGACUGAAAACGCCUAACGUCGAACUGCAGUUUGAGGUUUCCGGUACCUAGGAAGAACGUCGUACUACAGGUCUCUAUUAUUCACCUGAAACUUUGUUCGCUUCUUCCACCAACUUUGUGUCAAUUAAUGCCAUAAGGAGCUUCUUCAAGAGGGAGGAAACUGGAGAGCCCGGAGAAAACCCUCGUAGCAAGAAAGAGAUCAACACAUCAAGCAACCUCAAUUCACAUGGCAACCGCAGGGCUCGAACCAGCAACACUGCAUUAGCCGCGUGAACACCAAUGCUACCCAGAGUAGAAAGGUUAAGAGAGUGAGUUAGGAUGUAGUAUUCGGCAUUUUCGAGCCUAAUGAUGUGAUUAAAACAGAGUUUAUAAUUUCAAGAUUUUCAUGUAAUUUAUAUUUCUUUUAAGAUAGAGUAGAUAGGUUCUGGGUUUUGGACUCUAAGUAGCUCAUUAGCUAAUCUAACAAGACCAAAUUCUAGCCUCCCCUCGGGAUUGGACCGAAACUGAGCUGUUAAGACACGUCCAAAGCAGGGAAUGAUCCUUCGCCUUUAAAAACAAGGCAUGUAAGACUCAUUCUUAGAAAUCCAGGAAGUCUGUAAGCCAACAUUAAAGCUUAAAUUAAGUUUA